GAUUGGUUCAGGAGUUGGCAUAUGACCAAGUUCCUCCAAUGAGAUGUGAGGAGACGGCUCUGGGCAGAGCCUCUGGGAAAGCUUUCCUUCUCUCCGCAAGGAGAGAUAGGCGCUGUUGCCUGGGAACAGUGUGAGUGGGCAAUGUUCGCCCAGAGGGGCCCCAGCUCCCUUGCAGAGAAGGAAGCUGGACCUCCGAUGGUAUGGAGCUGCCGGUUGUCCCUUGCCUGAGGCGCUUUCUCUUCUGCCUUUUGUGUGAGAUAACAAAUGACGAAUUUGAACUGCCAUUUUCUGCUGUAUGCAGCCGUGAUACUGCGGAUUCUGAGGAAGGCCAACUCACCACCAUCUUGUUUUACUGAGGACAGAACCAAGGCCUAGCGGGACCUCUGUGUGUCCCCGUCUCAAAACCUGUUGAUGGCAGUGAGAGACAAGAGCCUCACCUCCCUUCUCGUAAGCUAGGCUUCAUCCUGUAGUGAGACAGGUUCUAGAAUCUUCUGUCAUUGUCCUUCCCACCCUCAGCCCAGAGCCUCUGUAGUCAGCUGUGUGUACAGAAGCUCACCUGAUUUAAAUCCAACAGGCAGUAUUCCGUCUAAUUAAGCAGUUAUCAGCAGGAAGGCUACAUCUCCAGAGCCUACCUGUUUUUUGUGAGGCGCCUUUAUAAACCCUCACUGGUUGUUGUGAUGAAUGCCAGGGGCUGAUGAGACCUCUGGAAGGCGGGUCCUGCUGGGCUGCCAUGGGGGCUGUGACAGUGACUGUUUAUGGAAUCUGAAGGCUGUAUUUGGAUAAUUACCACCAUCUGAUUGUCAGAUUAGUGUCAUCUGAACCAGACGGUCUGCUGUUUUUUUGCUUAAGGGAGGAAGAAUAAAACCCUUAGGAGAUGCUCACCGACUGUGAGCUUGGAAAUAGCCCUGAAAGUUACUGAGACAGUGACUGUGGUGAGGCCAGAGCACAGCCAGCAGCGUGCUGAACAAGUGUGCUGGUGGGUGAAGUAGAGAGGAGCCUCAAAGAAAAUGUGUUGAUUUUCCUGCUUUGCAGUGUGCAGAUUCACUGUGAAGCAGGCAGCAGUGGGCUUCUGAUAUGGUCACCUCUGUCAUGGGCACCUACUAUCGGGAAAAUUCAAGCCAGAAACUUCAAGAAGAAGAAUAGCUUGGGAAAAGCCAGGUCCAAAUAGAAGCCACCUUCAUCUGGACACAGCAGCCAUUGAUGCUGAUCCUCAAGGGCUCACCCUGCUGCACAAAUUCACAGGGGUGAUAUUUCAGCACAGAGGCAAACUUUCUUCUCUCAGAAGAACCCCUCAAAGAGACGGACGCUACAGGUAAAGGUGCUCCCUGCCACUUGCCCACUACUUUGCCAGACAGAGCACCGCUGAUCAGUGGGUGGGAGGACAGAGAGUGUGAGUUCUCCUGUGCAAGUGGAAUUGUGUGUGUGUGUGUACAUACAUGCACACACUUGUGCUUACACAGGAACUUAUAAGGAUUUUGGGAUCUCUGGGUGUGAGAAGGCUUCCCAGGUGGUGCAGUGGUAAAGAAUCCAUUUGCCAGUGCAGGAGACACUAGGGACAGGGGUUAUUUUCCCUGGGUUGGGAAGAUUCACUGGGACGAGGAAAUGGCAACCGUCUCCAGUAUUCUUGCCUGGACAAUUCCAUGGAUAGAGGAGCAUGGUG
ensembl:lncRNA